rnacentral:rRNA from 1 species
AUGGAGCGACCGAGGACGGAACACCAACAGGCAGUGAAGAGGAUCGUCCGCUACGUAGCAAGGACCCUCGACCACGACCUCCACUACCCUAGGUGUCCGGGGGCGGCACGCUUCGUCGGAUACAGCGACAGCGACCACGCCGGCGACAUCGACACCAGCAAGAGCACGAGCGGGAUCCUCUUCUUCCUCGGCAAGUGUCUCGUGAGCUGGCAAUCGGUCAAGCAGCAGGUGGUGGCCCUGUCCAGCUGUGAGGCUGAGUACAUAGCGGCCUCCACCGCCUGCACUCAGGCGCCCUGGCUCGCUCGACUGCUUGGUGAUCUUCUCGUUCAAGACACCAGAACGGUGCAGCUCCUGGUGGACAGCAAGUCCGCCCUGGCCCUGGCCAAGAACCCCGUUUUUCACGAACGAAGCAAGCACAUCCGACUGAGGUACCACUUCAUCCGCAGCUGUGUGGAAGAAGGGAGCAUCGAGGCGAGCUACAUCAACACCACGGACCAGCUCGCAGACCUGCUCACCAAGCCUCUUGGGAGGAUCAAGUUCCUCGAACUUUGCUCCAGGAUCGGGAUGAUUCAACCCUCCCACAAAACGACGUACAAGACUUAG